UAACCAGCCAGCCCUUCUGCAGAGAGAGCCACACCAUGCAGUAUGGACAUCUUGCCCCUGUUUCUUCAGUUUCUAAUCCUCUUGGUUUUUCCUUGAGUGCAGCAGCUUAUGGGAGUGAGCCUGACAGGGGCAUGUGGGAAUAGACUUGGCCCCUUGCACAGUGCUCUGCUGUCAGUGGGUGGAGCCUGCCAGCAGUCCUUGGUGGGAUAUCCUUGCAGGCCCCAGCCACACCCCAAGGGCCACCCCUGUCGCUCCCAGUAGUCUAUAUCUGGCAGAAAGGAAGCCACCCCUUAGUCAUUCCCUAGCAAUCAAAGGGUAUGUGAUUCCUGCUUACAGCAGGUGCUUAAUUACUUCAAAAGUGCCCCCAGAACAACAGUGCCAUUGCACAGGCCACCUCUGAGCCUGGUCCACACUGUUUUGAGGUGUCACCUGCUAUGGGCUCUUCCAGCCCUGC
rnacentral:lncRNA from 1 species